CCACACUUUACGACCUACCUUUUUGCGAUGGCUUGCACUUACGACCAGCUCUCUAGCAUUGGGAUUUAAGGGAUUUCCCACGUUAGAGAGCUGGUCUAUGUUCAGGAAAUUUUAUCCGAACAUAGAUAAGAGGGAUUCUGGUUGCUGCCGCUAGGUGUCGCUGUGCUGUGUGUAGUGCGCGCUCUGGGUGCUGCCGCUAGGUGUCGCUGUGCUGUGUGUAGUGC